GUUGACUUAGUGGCGGGCGGGUGAGUAACGCGUGGGUAACCUGCCUCACACAGGGGGAUAACAGUUGGAAACGACCGCUAAUACCGCAUAACCCGCUAGGGCCGCAUGGCCCGGACGGAAAAGAUUUAUCGGUGUGAGAUGGACCCGCGUUGGAUUAGCUAGUUGGCAGGGUAACGGCCUACCAAGGCGACGAUCCAUAGCCGGCCUGAGAGGGUGAACGGCCACAUUGGGACUGAGACACGGCCCAA
rnacentral:rRNA from 1 species